rnacentral:rRNA from 1 species
CCUACGGGUGGCAGCAGUGAGGAAUAUUGGUCAAUGGGCGGAAGCCUGAACCAGCCAAGUCGCGUGAGGGAAUAAGGCCCUACGGGUCGUAAACCUCUUUUGCCGGGGAGCAAGGGCCGGGACGAGUCCCGGUCCGGAGAGUACCCGGAGAAAAAGCAUCGGCUAACUCCGUGCCAGCAGCCGCGGUAAUACGGAGGAUGCGAGCGUUAUCCGGAUUUAUUGGGUUUAAAGGGUGCGUAGGCGGGCUUUUAAGUCAGCGGUAAAAAUUCGGGGCUCAACCCCGUCCGGCCGUUGAAACUGUGUCCCUUGAGUGCGCGAAGGGUAGGCGGAAUGCGUGGUGUAGCGGUGAAAUGCAUAGAUAUCACGCAGAACUCCGAUCGCGAAGGCAGCCUACCGGCGCGCAACUGACGCUCAUGCACGAAAGCGUGGGUAUCGAACAGGAUUAGAUACCCCGGUAGUC